CCUUUCUCAGUUAUUUUCGCCAUUGUGGGUUUACUUGUCCUCAGCACACUGAUUUGGCACUGCUGCAAUCGUCACACUUUUUCUGUUACAAACUGACCCGGCCCCUCAUCAGAGAAGGGAAAAGUCAUGUGGCCUUCACAGGAAAAGGUUUGGGGACCCCUGCUUUAGAGUGUUUGUCAUCUGCCCUUCCAUUUGCUUUUCUUCAUGUGCAGUGCUCCCCCUCCAUGUUUGAUCAAACUGCACUGAUAAUUUGAAAUUGUUUUAAAAUGCAUUAAUCGCAAAAAUCAGAGGACUAGAUCACAUUUCCCCCUGUUAUUUCACCACUUUAACUUUGGUCUAACCUAAUAUAGGAAUACAGAUAGAAAGAGUGCAGAGAUCACACUCGACGCUAUAACAACCUGGUGUGUUUAAGGUUGGUCAUUUAUGUGCCUAUAUUUUGAAAUUGUUGCCUUAAUUUUGUGUUCUUUUUCACCAUCCCCCAAUCAGGCUGAAGCAAAUGGUCAAAAGUCCACACAUACCUCAGUCUCAGCAAUUACAGGUCAACCAAAGCAGUAUUCUCUAAUGCAGUGGACUUGCAAGUACUGCACAUUUUCUGCUGAAAAGAGCCUACUUGCUUAAGCAUUACCGCUUAAAACAUGGAUACCACACUCGGACAUCCCUACUCCCAUGUCUUCAUAAGGACUGCCUCUGCACAUUUAAAUCUUUUAAUGCACUCAAAGUACACCUAUCGACAUGGCACUCUCAAAAAGAUGCAGGCAAAAGUGGAGAAACUGCAUUCGACCGUCAGUUGUGCAACUUUGUGGAGCCCUGCUCAGAAGUAGACUUCUUUACCCAUUUGCGAGGACAUCUUAAGCUGAGGCAAAUGGUUACUUGCCCAUAUCAAGACUAACUUUCAGAGCAGUAUUUAUUCGACCUUCACUGCACACAAAAGCAAAGAAAUGUGAAAUGUGUUUGAGCCAUAGUGUGGGUAGGACAUUUGUGUCUAAA